ACAUGUCUUUUUAGUAUUUAAUAUAAAGUCUGGCCUGCCCACUGAAUAGAAUGUUUGAAGGGCCGCAGUAUUUUGACUGUGCAAAGGUAGCAUAAUCAUUAGUCUUUUAAUUGAAGGCUGGUAUGAAUGGUCGGAUGAGAUAUAAGCUGUGUCAUAAAAAUUAUUAUUUGAAUUUAACUUUUUAGUCAAAAGGCUAAAAUAAUUUUAAAAGACGAGAAGACCCUAUAGAGCUUUAUAUAGUAAAUGUUUAAAUUAUUAAGAUUUAUUAAAUUUAAUUUUUGUACUUUAUUAUGUUGGGGUGACAAUAAAAUUUACAAAACUUUUAUUUUUAUUUAACAUUAAUUUAUGGUUAUAUGAUCCAAUUUUAUUGAUUAUAAAUUUAAGUUACCUUAGGGAUAACAGCGUAAUUUUUUUUGAGAGUUCUUAUCGACAAAAAAGAUUGCGACCUCGAUGUUGGAUUAAGAUUAAUUUUGGGUGUAGAAGUUCAAAAUUUAAGUCUGUUCGACUUUUAAAUUCUUACAUGAUC
rnacentral:rRNA from 1 species